CUCUCCCCUCUCGCGUGAACCCUUUCUCCUCUUGCGAGAGCUGAGCUAGGGUUUCACAUUGCAGCUUCUUCCUGCCCACCGAUGCCUUCAGCCGCCACCUCCUCCUUCUCUGCCCUCGCUCCUUCUCUGUUGCCACCUUGAGGAAGACAACUUCCCCAAACCAGAAGCUUAAAAAAAAUGGCUUCCUCAGUCUCCGCUUUCGCUGAGACAACGGUGAACCGGCAGACUACAGAGGAACGACAGGAGGAGGUUUCCAAGGCGUAACGCUGUCUUCCCCUUUACCCAAGUCGCCUCCUUGCUUUCAGCAAGAGAUCUGUGCUUCUCGCACGAGGAAGACGACUGUCUUCCAGUCGAUCGGGCGACUGCUACUUUUCAUCGGUAGAGAAGAAAGGCAGACAGGUCGAGUUCAAGAAAGGAUUUUAAGUCCUAACAAAAAACAGUAAUUGUUCCUCCGGAUUUGACAGACGGGAGAAUCCCGGCUCUUUUCUAGUAGCCAUUGGGUUAGUUUCUCAAAAAAGAGCAAAUGUUCUGUGUUCCAUUUCCUCCUUAUUCUUUAUUUAUUUUAUUUUGGCUCUGUUGUAUGUCGAGCAGAGCAGGCUCUGCCUCCUUUGCUACCGUUUGGCAGAGACGCAGGUCAAAAAAAAUUUACUUGAAGUAGUGGAGUUCUUUACGAGGGUGCUGAUCUAGAAAAGUAUUGACAGAGCUGAUGUGCUCAGUCCUGGUCUCAGUCUCUCGCAGACACAGGGAAAAAGAAAGCGACAUAAUAUGUAAAGCAGAGGAUUCCAGACCCAAACAAUACUAUCAUGCUUCAUGCUUGAACUUACUUUUGCCUAGCAUGCUUUAUUUUCAGUAAAUGGAUCACAGCAUGAUACACUCAUGAUGCACAGAUGACACAUGCUUCACAGUAGUAUAAUCUGCACAGGCACAGGCACCAUCGAAAACACUUACUGGUGUUCGAUAGAGAUGGCUCUGAUACCACUGAUGGAUUUAUAGGAGUCGUAGCGGAAGUCGGUGAUGAAGAAUCUCCAACGUCUCCAGUGUGCAGCGAAUAUCCCUGUGAAACCAACAAGACAAAGGAAAGAGAAAGAAGAAGAAAACUGAUUUAGGGGUUUCCUUCCAAGGGGCUCCUCACGGAUGAUGUGUUAGAGAGAUCCUCAAACUCUGGAUAUGCUAGGAAUAUAUAGUCCAGCCCCUUAGGUUUUCCCCAACCCUAGCAGCGACGUAAGUGUGAGAGAUUUUAGGUGAGCAUUAAAGCUCGUAACUGCAAGUGGGCCCCCUUGCAGUUACGAGAUGAAUGGGUAGGGCUCAUGGCCACUACCACUACCCAACAGAUUCUAGUGUCGGGUGCUGCAGCAAAUCCGGGAUUCAACUGGACCAAGCCCUCGUUUAGGCUGUUUUUAUGGCUUUUAGCAUUGUAUUUUAUCUAUUAGCUAGAUUUUACUGUUUUCACCAUAUGGAUUAGGAUUUUGUUUAGUUUUAGUUCAGUUUAUCGCAGGUAUCAUGUGUUUUCUGUAAAAUCCAGCAUGUAGUAGUAACAAAUCGUGCAUACAUCUGCUGUUUGAGCUGGGUUCUUUAUGCAUUUUCACUGGAAUAGCUGUUUUGGAGUAGGAGUCUAGUGUAACUAACUAAUUUCCUUUGAUUUUCUGCAAUUUCUAUUGUUUCCAACCUCUAUUCAUUGUACAUUUAUGCAUAUUAGUGUAGAUUAGACGUUUAGGUGUUGUGUUUGCUUUAGCAGUGUUUUUUUAGUAGAACAUUGGUGCUUUCAUCGGAGUCGGCUUUAGUGUUGGCACAUGAGCUCGCUGCCACGACUUGGCCACAUUCAGUUCUUAAUUUGAUUGUUGUUUCCUCUAAUUGCAGGUAGUGUUAGCUCUUAUUUUGUUUCAAUUUGUGUGUUUUAGUUAGUUUUAGGAUAUUAAUGGCUGCUUGUAGGUGAAUGCUUAGUUUUUUCUUUUAAUUUAAAUUUGGGUUUUGGUAGGUGUUGGCUAGAAUCGCCUAAAAUCAGCUCGUUAGAAUGUGUUGGAGAUGUCCACCAGCUGAUGGCUGGCUGAGUGGUCGAUUUUUUCUGCUCCUAUAUAGAUUUUAUAUUUAUCUUGUUUUUGGCUACUUAGAUUAAGUGCAUUAGUUGUUUAGUAAUGUUGUGUGCUUGACUUUAGUGUUCAGACUGGGUUUCAUGCAGGUUUUCAUGUGCCAGACUGAGUUUUUGUUCUCUUACAAUAAUUUCUGUUAUACUUUAUGGUGGUUCCUGUAAUACCAGUUGGAUUUGGAUGCAUUUGGCAUUGAACCUUGUAAAUUUUAGUUUAACUUGCGGCACGUGGCAUUUUAGUAUAGUGUUUUAAUAUGUGGACUGCGUUAUAGCAUGCUAGAAGCAUAAUUUUGUAUUUCUGUAAUUCUUAGGUUAAUGUGCAUCUAGUUUUAGUUUAAUUUCUGCAAUAACUUCAUAGAUUAGGUGCCCCACAGUUGAUUUUUAGAUUCUUUAUGGGCAGGAGGAUGUUCUUUAUCUUGGUUUAAUAGUUAUCAUUCUUUAUGUGCAGGAGGAUGUUCUUUAUCUAGGUUUAAUAGUCAUCUAGUUACUUUUAUCUCUUAGAGUUCAUAGAUUAGGUGUUAAACAUGUUUAGUAAUUGAUGUUGGUGUGUAAACUGUGUUUUAGUUAGUUAGAAACAUAAGUUUAUGUUUUUCUUUGCCUUUAUCUAAUUUACAUCUUGUUUUUACAACUCACUGUAAUAAAUGCAUAGCCUAGGUGAUUAUCUUGUGGGUUGUGAUGAUUUUAGUUUGUGACUGCAGUAGUUGUAACUUGUAAGUGUAUUAGUGUAGUGUAGCGUAGAUGCACUAGAGGCAGCCAUCUAGUCUGCUCAAGUAACGCAAUUGCUGGCCAGAGACUUUUCUAUAAAACCUUGUUUUCCUUGUUAAAUUUAAUAGCUUUUUAGUUGUUUAAUGUAUUUGCAGCAUGUAAUGUAGAUGUUAGUUAUGUUUUAUACUUUAAGAGUUUGUAUUGUGUUUAUUGAUCGUUACAGGUCUGCCAGUUAGUGUUGGUUCAAUUUACAGUAGUUAACUGUAGUUUCUAGUUUAAAUAUUGUUUUCCUAGUUGUAUUUAAUAAUUAUUGUUCGCUUGGAUUAAUUCUUAAGUAAAUUUUAGUUGUUAAUAUUUAAUUAUAUCUAAUUUAAUAUUGCAAUCUGCUCUUUACUGUUUGCAGGUUCUAUUUAUAGUGUAUUGGUGUUCUACAUGGUUUCUUACUUUAUUUUUACUUUAACUUCCACUAUAGUUUAAAAGGUUAAAUAGUUGUUUUCUCUUUGAAAGAGUUUUUAGACAAAAAAUUAGUUUUUAGUAAUUAGUUUUAGGUAAAUUAAGAUGUGGAUUGCCACUAGUGUUUUAUAUGUUUUAGAGAUAGAAAGUGUGGACUCUGAUAUUAUACCUUGGUAUUUGCUGUUUUUUUUUUUUAUAAUUUAUAGUGCAUUUGGUAGGAGCUUUUUAAUUUUUAAUUAUAUUUAAUUUAAUAUUGCAAACUGCUUCUUUCAGGUUUUCAGGUCCUAUAUAUAGUGUCUGGGUGCUUUAACUUGUUUCUUAUUAUAUUUUUAAUGUAAUUUCUACUAUACUUUUAAAGGUUAACUAGUUAUUUCUUGUUUGAAAUAGUUUUUAGAUGAAAAUUAGUUUAGUAAUUAGUUUUACCUAAAUUAAGGUGUGGACUGCUACAAUUGUUUUCUUGUUCUACAGAGAGAACAUGUGCACUAUGGUGUUAUGCCUCGGUUUCUGUAAUCUCUAGUGUAGUUGGUACCCGUACCGGUGUCCCUGUCGGCAUGUCACUCAAAUAAAGUACCCAUAUGACAUGGGCUCUAUGCCAAAAGUUUCUAUCGGAAUGGAAAUUUGUACAAUGAUCUAAUUAAAUAUCCACAGUUGGUAUGCUUCGGCACCUCAUUUUCAUUAAACGAAAUAUUGCUCAUUUAGUAUAUUAUGUGUCCCAAUUUAUGCAUAAACCAAUAACUAUGUAUAUAUGAUUGUCACCGAAUAUUCGAACAGAGCACGAGAAAAAUGUUAAAAACAGGUCAGCUAUAAAAAAUGUGAAAAAUGAGUGUUAUUCGUGUUUUAUUCCCUGUUUUGUGUUUUUGCUUUUUUUUCACGUUUUCUUUUUUGCUUUUAUUGUGUUUUUCCAUGUUUUUAAUUGCCAAAUUUUAUUUCACAUUUUUUGCAUUAUAUUGUUAAUUUUUAUAUUUUUUAAAAUUUGCCCUGAGAAAAACAACUUUGCCGUUUUGCCGUAUUAUAAUCUGAAGAAAAAACUUGCCGCUUUAUACUGAAAACAAUAUAUGUGAAAAUGGUAAAUAUUAUGCCACAAAGAAGAUAUUGAUUAGAAAUUGGUACAUAUGAGAUCAUCUCGUAAGAGGUCAAGAUGAGUUGAGAAUAACUUUUUAUGUUAUUGUCUAUACCUUGAAGUGAAUCUAGUAUCUUAAACUGGUAUUAAACAAAAAAUUGUUUGCUAAAUCAAUUAAGAAGCUGAAUAUAGACAUAUGAUUACUAUCAGCAACUAGAGCUGCAUGCGCUGAACAUUUAUUGAGCGAAACAAAAGAAUUCAAUUAAGGUGACUAUUCUUAUAUGAUAACUUUACUGAUACAAAUAUCUCUUUGGUACGAUCCAUCUUGUUAAUAUAAUGUAUAGAGAUAUAUCAAUACUUCAUCAAAUAGAAUGUCGAAUGUAAGAAAAUUGAGUGUUACUAUGUUUUAUUGUUUCAUACUGAAAAAUCAAAUGGUUGUUAUAUCCAUUAAAAAAGUCACAAUUUUUGGUAGGUUAGGGUUUAUCGUGUGUGUAGAUAUGUUUGGAAUCACGGUUACACAAUUAUGGACAUUAUUGUUUUGCAUUAUAGUUUGUAACAUUUAUUUAUUUAAAUGAAAUUUGGUCAUGCACUUUAUAUUGAACUCCACACUAACUUGUUACGGGUAUUAUUCUCCCAUGGUAUGUGUUGCAACAAGUCCCUACAUUGAAGACAGGAAUCUGUAUGUCCUUUGCUCUUACUUUUAAAUAUUUCACAAAAAUAACUUUUGGGCAUUUGAUUUUCUCAAAUAUACUAGUAAAAUACUAAUUGACUCAAAAUAUAAUCUUUUAAGCCGAUUUAGGAAAAGAGCCAAAAUUAAUUUUACAUGAUCAUGAAGAAAAAGUUUUAAAUGCGGGUGCUACUAGCCAUGUGAAAUGACAUCUAUAGAUGAAAGAGUUAAGAGUUUGGAACACAUAACCACUUCACACCCUCCUUCAUGUUAACCUAGUUAUUGAUCAGCUCUCAGAUCAGACUAACUAAAAAGAUUAUUUUUGGAUUUACAUUUUUCACCAAAACCAGUUAUUCAGAUUCAGCUCUAUCAGAUAUACAAUUUGAUUCCAAAUGGUUGACAUCUCAAUUAAAUCCAUGGCUAUGCUGGUAAGACUCAAAUAUUCAACAUGUCAUUCAAAGGGAAGCCAUGCAUCAUCAGCAUUGAAUACAUGGAAAACUAUCUAAAAAAUAUUAUUAUAGUUGGGUCAAAUAAGGCAUAAACACUUCCAAUCCAACUAGACAGAAAGAAUCAGGAACUUGCAAGUGAGUUGGCCUUUAGGGGGCGUUUGAUGAACAGGAAAUACACUGUUCAUCGAGAAAUAAAAUUCAAAAAUUUAAAAUUUUUCCACCGUCUCAAACGGAGAAAAAUUUAUUCGACCGUUGAGGUUUCAGAAAAUUUUUUCCGGAAAAAAAUUUCCACCUGGAGAGACGGAAAUUUUUUUUCGGAAAUAAAUUUUUGCCCGUUAGGGCACGCGAGCGCUCCCUCUUCGCGUCUUCCUUCUCUUCCUUCCUAUGCCGCAGCCGCUCCCUCUUCUUUCCCGUCAUCUCACAGGCGCUCCCUCUUCAGCCGCGUCGUCUCACAGCCGCUCCCUCCACUCCACCCGAGCAGUGCAGCCGCGAGCCUCCCGUUCCUCUCUUUCUCGCAACGUAGUGUCUCUCUCUCUCCCUCUCUCAUUCUCUCUCUUGUUCCCCUCUCCAAGUCGGCCUUUUCAAUGGAGCCCUUUUUAAUCCGCUGAAGCAAUCUGCGCAACCUCUUCGUCUUCGCCUCUCUCUUUCUUUCCCCAUCCGUUGCAAUCUAGACACAGGGAGAAGAUAAAGAGGACUCGAGAGAUCGUCAGAUUAACUCACCGUCUCUUUUCCUUGCCGUCAGAGAGAACCGCUGCUGAGUGGCGCUGCUCCUGAUCCUCCUUCUCACCAGAAGUCCUUUGACUGAUGGAAGAUGAAGGACUGACAUGAUUGUGACGAAUGUUCGAAGGUCGUGCAAGGGGAAAAUUUGAUUCUGUUUGUGUUUUUUGUUUUCUUAUGGUGCAAAGACACUGCAUAUGUAUUUGCUUCUAUGGAUACUCGACACAUGCACUUGGCUUUCUAUUGAACGUUGAAGCUCUUCUGAACAGUGAACACUGAUGGGAAUAUGUAAAUAUUUUAUCACUGAUGGGACUUUGUAUGUGGUUUGAUGCGCAUUUUAUCACUGAUGGGACUAUGUUUAGUAUUUUAUCA